rnacentral:rRNA from 1 species
UACGUAGGCAGCGAGCGUUGUUCGGAAUUACUGGGGCGUAAAGAGUGUGUAGGCGGUGCUCUAAGUUCGGUGUGAAAUCUCCUGCUUAACUGGGAGGGUGCGCCGGAAACUGGAGUGCUCGAGCGUGGGAGAGGAAAGCGGAAUUCCUGGUGUAGCGGUGAAAUGCGUAGAUAUCAGGAGGAACACCUGUGGUGUAGACGGCUUUCUGGACCAUAGCUGACGCUGAGACACGAAAGCGUGGGUAGCAAACAGG